rnacentral:tRNA from 1 species
CUUAUUUAUAUUCCUCUCUCACUACAGAGUAAUUCUAUACUCAUAUAGAAAAUUUAAUGUUAAAAUUAGUAACA